AGUGAACGCUGGCGGUAGGCCUAACACAUGCAAGUCGAACGGCAGCACAGUAAGAGCUUGCUCUUACGGGUGGCGAGUGGCGGACGGGUGAGGAAUACAUCGGAAUCUACUUUUUCGUGGGGGAUAACGUAGGGAAACUUACGCUAAUACCGCAUACGACCUACGGGUGAAAGCAGGGGAACUUCGGACCUUGCGCGAUUGAAUGAGCCGAUGUCGGAUUAGCUAGUUGGCGGGGUAAAGGCCCACCAAGGCGACGAUCCGUAGCUGGUCUGAGAGGAUGAUCAGCCACACUGGAACUGAGACACGGUCCAGACUCCUACGGGAGGCAGCGGUGGGGAAUAUUGGACAAUGGGCGCAAGCCUGAUCCAGCCAUACCGCGUGGGUGAAGAAGGCCUUCGGGUUGUAAAGCCCUUUUGUUGGGAAAGAAAAGCAGCAGGUUAAUACCCCGCUGUUCUGACGGUACCCAAAGAAUAAGCACCGGCUAACUUCGUG
rnacentral:rRNA from 1 species